GACGAACGCUGGCGGCGUGCUUAACACAUGCAAGUCGAACGGAAAGGCCCUGCUUUUGUGGGGUGCUCGAGUGGCGAACGGGUGAGUAACACGUGAGUAACCUGCCCUUGACUUUGGGAUAACUUCAGGGAACUGGGGCUAAUACCGGGUAGGAGCUCCUGCUGCAUGGUGGUGGUUGGAAAGUUUCGGCGGUUGGGGAUGGACUCGCGGCUUACCGGCUUGUUGGUGGGGUAGUGGCUUACCAAGGCUUUGACGGGUAGCCGUCCUGAGAGGGUGACCGGCCACAUUGGGACUGAGAUACGGCCCAGACUGCUACGGGAGGCAGCAGUGGGGAAUAUUGCACAAUGGGCGGAAGCCUGAUGCAGCAACGCCGCGUGCGGGAUGACGGCCUUCGGGUUGUAAACCGCUUUCGCCUGUGCCGAAGCGUGAGUGACGGUAAUGGGUAAAGAAGCACCGGCUAACUACGUG
rnacentral:rRNA from 1 species